UCCUUUUGUUAUUUAUAUAAGGUCUAACCUGCCCAAUGAAGUUUUUAAAGGCCGCGGUAUUUUAACCGUGCUAAGGUAGCGUAAUCAUUUGUCUUUUAAUUAAGGGCUAGAAUGAAAGGUUGGACGAGGUAUUAACUUUCUUUAAUUUAAUUAAAUGAAUUUAAUUUUUAAGUUAAAAAGCUUAAAUUUUUUUGUUGGACGAGAAGACCCUAUAGAUCUUUACAUUUAUAUUUAAUUGUAAUGUAUGGUGAUUUAUUUUUAUAAUUAUUAAAAGUGUUUGGUUGGGGUGACUAGAGAAUAAAAAUAACUUCUUAUUUUUUAUAUCGUUAAUUUUCGUUUUUAUGAUCCAUUAUUAGUGAUUAAAGGAUUAAGUUACCUUAGGGAUAACAGCGUAAUUCUUUUGGAGAGUUCAUAUUGAUGAAGGAGUUUGCGACCUCGAUGUUGGAUUAAAAUUAGUUCUGAGUGCAGCAGUUCAGUUACUAGGUCUGUUCGACCUAUAAUUUUUUACAUGAUC
rnacentral:rRNA from 1 species